rnacentral:sRNA from 1 species
AUCCUCGAUCUGUUGCGGGCAGAUGAAAUGGAUAUGCGCGUCAAAUCCACCUGCGGUCAGGAUACGGCCCUCACCCGCGAUGAUCUCCGUCCCCGGGCCGAUAAUGAUAUCGACACCGCUUUGCGUAUCAGGAUUGCCCGCUUUGCCGAUCGCCGCGAUCCGGCCUGAGCGCAGGCCCACAUCGGCCUUAUAAAUCCCGGUCCAAUCGACGAUCAGCGCGUUGGUGAUCACCGUGUCCAUCGAGCCUUCGGCACGGGUGACUUGCGACUGACCCAUCCCGUCGCGGAU